rnacentral:rRNA from 1 species
AGUGAACGCUGGCGGUAGGCCUAACACAUGCAAGUCGAACGGCAGCACAGUAAGAGCUUGCUCUUACGGGUGGCGAGUGGCGGACGGGUGAGGAAUACAUCGGAAUCUACUUUUUCGUGGGGGAUAACGUAGGGAAACUUACGCUAAUACCGCAUACGACCUACGGGUGAAAGCAGGGGAUCUUCGGACCUUGCGCGAUUGAAUGAGCCGAUGUCGGAUUAGCUAGUUGGCGGGGUAAAGGCCCACCAAGGCGACGAUCCGUAGCUGGUCUGAGAGGAUGAUCAGCCACACUGGAACUGAGGCACGGUCCAGACUCCUACGGGAGGCAGCAGUGGGGAAUAUUGGACAAUGGGCGCAAGCCUGAUCCAGCGAUACCGCGUGGGUGAAGAAGGCCUUCGGGUUGUAAAGCCCUUUUGUUGGGAAAGAAAAGCAGCAGGUUAAUACCCCGCUGUUCUGACGGUACCCAAAGAAUAAGCACCGGCUAACUUCGUG